GUCCUUUUGAUUUUUAUAUAAGGUCUGACCUGCCCUAUGAAUAUUUAAAUGGCCGCGGUAUACUAACCGUGCAAAGGUAGCAUAGUCAUUUGUCUUUUAAUUGGAGGCUUGAAUGAAGGGUUGGACGAGAUAUAAGCUUUCUUUGUUAUAUUUUAUUGAAUUUGACUUUUGAGUUAAAAGGCUUAAAUUUUUUUAUAGGACGAGAAGACCCUAUAGAAUUUUAUAUAUUUGUAUAAUUGAUUUAUUUAUUUAUUAUUUAAUUUCUUGUUUAAAUAUAUUUUGUUGGGGCGAUGGGAAGAUUUUAAUAACUCUUUUUUGUUUUGAUCAUUGAUUUAUGUUUUAUUCUGAUCCUUUUUUAGAGAUUAUAAGAUUAAAUUACCUUAGGGAUAACAGCGUAAUUCUUUUGGAGAGUUCUUAUCGAUAAAAGAGUUUGCGA
rnacentral:rRNA from 1 species